rnacentral:lncRNA from 1 species
UGGAUAUCUAAUUGAGCCCUCAAUUUAAAUUAUAAAAUGUAGUACACAGAAGUCGUAGUAUCCAAAGAACAGGAAUAAGAUAAAUACACAUUAAAUCUAAAAAAUAGGAAUAAAUUAUGGGAAAUAAAGUAACUGGAAACGCCGAAACGGGUUGCAAUUAACAUGAAUAAGAAAUUGAAAUAUUAAAUCCCAAAUUUCUUAUAUAAAACUGCAGCACAACAGGAAUAAUUUUCUCCUUACAAUUCUAAGUGUAUUGACAGUAAUUUGUUGUCUUCAGCAGUUUGUGGUGGUAGAAUCGUCGACGAAUGGAGUCGAACGGUCGGCAGCAACGACGGGGGAGGAUUAAAUGGCUAGGUUUUGCUUCAACAUUUGGAAUUGAAAGCUGCCGAUCCCGAAGACGGGAUUGAAUUGGAAGUGGCAAGGUUUCUUGCAUUGAAUUUCAAUUUGGUAGUGAAAUAUGGGGAUGAGAAUUUGAAAUGACUUGGAGACUGUGAAUUGCAAAGUGGGAGGUUUUUU